AUUGAACGCUGGCGGCAGGCCUAACACAUGCAAGUCGAGCGGAGCGGCGGACGGGUGAGUAAUGCCUAGGAAUCUGCCUGGUAGUGGGGGAUAACGUCCGGAAACGGGCGCUAAUACCGCAUACUAUCAGAUGAGCCUAGGUCGGAGUAGCUAGUUGGUGGGGUAAAGGCCUACCAAGGCGACGAUCGGUAACAGGUCUGAGAGGAUGAUCAGUCACACUGGAACUGGAACACGGUCCAGACUCCUACGGAAGGAAGCAGUGGGGAAUAGUGGACAAGGAGGGAAAGCCGGAUCAAGCCAUGCCGCGUGUGUGAAGAAGGUCUUCGGAUUGUAAAGCACGUUAAGUUGGGAGGCGGUACCGGCAGAAUAAGCACCGGCUAACUUCGUGCCAGCAGCCGCGGUAAUAC
rnacentral:rRNA from 1 species